AACGAACGCUGGCGGCAUGCCUAACACAUGCAAGUCGAACGAGACCUUCGGGUCUAGUGGCGCACGGGUGCGUAACGCGUGGGAACCUGCCCUUAGGUUCGGAAUAACUCCCCGAAAGGGGUGCUAAUACCGGAUAAUGUCUUCGGACCAAAGAUUUAUCGCCUUUGGAUGGGCCCGCGUUGGAUUAGCUAGUUGGUAGGGUAAAAGCCUACCAAGGCGACGACCCAUAGCUGGGCUGAGAGGAUGAGCAGCCACACUGGGACUGAGACACGGCCCAGACUCCUACGGGAGGCAGCAGUGGGGAAUAUUGGACAAUGGGCGAAAGACUGAUCCAGCAAUGCCGCGUGAGUGAUGAAGGCCUUAGGGUUGUAAAGCUCUUUUACCCGGGAUGAUAAUGACAGUACCGGGAGAAUAAGCUCCGGCUAACUCCGUG
rnacentral:rRNA from 1 species